rnacentral:tRNA from 1 species
GCCUGGCUGGCUCAACUGUGAGGGCAUGCUAGACUCUUGAUCUCAGAGUUGUGAGUUCAAACCUCAUGUUGGGCG